UGCUCAACGCAGCCACCGCCGCUUGCCGAGAUAGGUGUCUACAGAAGCAGGAGUGCACAUACUCUCGUGCAAGCACCACCACCACCACCCAACAGCGACACCACAGCAGCCAUACAUCGAAGCAACCAAACAACAGCCACCCACCCCUCCGCGCAAACUCGGCUGAAAGCACCGUCGUCAUCGGCAUCUCCCUCGCUCGCUCUCGCCCUGUCAUUGCGUGGGUGUCGGUUCUUCGCGUGCACUGGAGGGACACGAAACGACGAACGGGCCGCAGGAAAGACACGACACGGCAAGGUGCUUGUGUGCGCAGGCUCGUCGCGCAUCACAGUGCGCCCAAACUCCCGUCGAUCGCUCGCUCUCUCCCUCUGACCCCUCUCCCUCCUCAAGAAACAGCGCCGUGGACCAUGUCGACAUCGGACUCGUCUGUGCUGAAGAAGCAGCGCGCAAGGAUCGCCUGGCUGGAGGCGUCCCUGGAUACGAGCAUUGUCGCCUACGAGUCUCACCGCAACGCGCUCGAAAACGUCUACGCGUAUCUGGCGAAGUGGCAGCAGUCGCCUGGCGAGGGGUGCAUCCACAUUAGCCCAGCAGCGUUAAGUGAGCUGCUGAACGACAUCGACGAUGUGCUGGAGCAGUGCGCGCUUCGGCUGCAGCCCAUAGACGGCGCAACGCCAGCCGCAGAUUCGCCGACGGAGCAAGCACACUCGGAACACUGCUUCAGGGGCGCGCAUCUCUAUCCUGACAACGCCCGCGGAACGCGUCGGAACAAGGCAGUGCCCGCCCCACCACAGCAGCAGCCCCAGAUGACCUCGCGGUCUGUCUCGGAGCUGUCGAGGGGGAGCCGCCCACGCGGGGCAGAGGACGAUCUGCAUGAGGCAUCGACGGCGACGACGGAGAGCAGGCAGCACCAACAGCCGAAGCCGGUGUUGCAGUACCGCCCGCUGUCAUCGUCACGCUCCCGCACGUCGUCUGUGCUACCGGCGAUGAACGAGAGAGAGGCUGCAGCAGUGCAGCCCGUGUACACGACGAGCGCCGACUCAACGCCGCCGCCGUCGCAGGCGGUGGCCGGCUCGUGGAAGCCUCAGCCGAGGCCUCGCGCGCAGCCUCGCGACCGGAUGGGUGUGGCACUGACGCCGUGGCCCAUCAUGGACGACAGACAGCAGCCAAGUGGCACCGCAGCCGGUCCGGUAGAUCGCACUCGAAGUGACCCGACGCCGCCGUCGGCCCGCCUGCGAGCGGAGGAGAACCACGAUGAGCUGCCCGCACCGCAGUACAGCUCUUACAAGAGAACCGGGCGUCCGCUACUGCCCUCGCCGGAGCGGCGCGCGGCCGCGGAAGAGCUCGCGGAACUCGCGGCGGCCGAGGAGGAAGCAAAGGCGAGUAGCGCAUACCAGCAGUCUUUCGGCGGGUGCAGCCACAGCCGCGAGAGCGAACGCAACUGUGUCAGCGCCGGGCAUCGCUGGCCAUCCCCUUCCUCCUCGCUGACGUCGGCGUCGCAUCAGCUGCCGCCCCCACCGCCUCUGCAGGGGGAACAACACGGCCAAAGUUACUGGAGCGAGGAGCAAGACAUCCCAUAUCGUCGGGGCUCCUCGGCAGCUGGCGAGCACCGCAGCAGCAACACGGGCGCCGGCAGCCACGUCGGCUCGGGCCGCUCUGGCCUGUCUGAGGAGGGCCCAUACGCUGGCAUUGCACCAGCAGCCGCGAGUGGGCACCGGGCGGCGGCGGCGGUCACCUCCCACCACUCGCACCCGGCGCCGUCGCACCAGCAAAGCAGCGCCGGUGGUCGUGCUCUCAGUCGGACAUCCAGCACCCUCAAGGGCAGUCCCUCGGAUGCCGCGGUGGCAGCCCUGGAGUCGCUAUCUUACGCGUCGUCCUGUGCCCCGCACCGUCCUGGCCAACCACGCGGCGGCGCAGCCGGAGCAGCAGCAAUGUACGCAGGCCAUCCCGUGGAGGCGUCGCAGGCAGGCAGCCUUGGUCUUGUCUACACUCCCAGUGUGACGCCACAGCGGGACUCGGACAACGGGGCGGCGGUAACGGCCCCGCAGCAGCUCAGUGAGCGCCGCCGCCUGCGCACUUACAGCCAGCGGCCCAUCGCCCCGAAAACGAACGACAGCAGCCAGGUCGAGUCCACCGUGUAUCAUCGUCGUACGUUGUCGCCGUCUGCAGGCCGGAAGCCUUUGCGGGCCGACUCGCCAGAGACGCUGCGCUUUAUGGAAAGGGAAGACGCCUUCCUCGAGAAGCAGCGGCAAAAGUUGCUGGGGGAGGAGCACCGCGACCCUCUCCAACCGCAAAACAACGCUGGCGCCACGCUUUACAUCACGGCUAAUCCUGGUGGUCAGCCCGUCGCGAACGGCGGCAAGGCUGUCAAGGAGGCGGCGCCGGAAAUGACGGCCGUCGAGGAGCAGCUCAUCGCCGAGCACACGAUCUUGCGCACGCAGCUCGAAAAGAUGCAGAUGGAGAUGUCCAUUGCGGUCGCGCGACACCGUGAGCGCGGAAACGAGCAGCGCUACACGCAGCUGAACACGCGCAUGAAGCGCGUGAUGAAGGACUUGGACAGGGUAGAGUGGGAGCUGCGCGUCGUGCGCAAUAUUGAUCGCCAGUCCCGCUCACAGUCUCCCGCGAGCGGCAUAUAGAGCCGCAGCUGGGACGCUUGGUGCCGAACGCACCGGCACCGGUAACCGCUGGGAGAAGGCGAAGGGCGGGCAGAGUCGUGAAGGCGGGUAUGAUGCUUCUGAUGGGGAGGGUGUGGACCGAGUACGGCGACGAUGGUGACCGGCACUGAUGCAUUAUGUGUUAUGUGUGUGGGUGUGCACCUUUUUGUCUGCCUCUCUCCCGCUCUCCGCGCAUGGGACGCGCGCCUGCGGGCUGAAGGAGCGGGAGGAGGGGGGGUUACUCACCAGCUCCAGGGACAGCACGUCACAUGACAUCAUACACGCCCGCAGUGAAGUCUCUCUGUGUGCCUCGUACUCUUUUCCAGCCUUGCUGCUGCUGCUGCUGUUUCUCCAAGAGCGCCCUUUCUCAGGCAUGACCCCUUUCUGCACGCCGCAUACCCACGCGUCGCCCUGGCCAUUGCCGUUGAUCGGUGGGGUUGUCGUGUCUCCUCCUCUCCGCGCCCACCACCGCCAACGCUCUCUCUGCUGCUCCCGCCCAUUGGCAUUACUAUUAUUUCUGCUUGCCUUUCUCUCUCACUUGCCCCCCUCCCGUGUGUGUGUGUUCGUCUGCGUUUGGGUGUCUUGCGCGUGCGCGCCAAGUCACCGCCUUCCUCAUCAUCUCCUAUGCUGAUGUUCACCACACUCGCCCACACACACGAAUGCAGGUUCCUCCUCCUCUUCUCCAUCUCUCCUCGUCCUCCGCUUGAUCUCCUCUCGAAACAUCGUCGCUGCUUUUCAGUUGUACUCCUCUUCCUCCCUAUACAUUAUAUAUAUAUAUAUAUAUAUGUGUGUGUGUGUGUAUGCAUGUGUCUGUAUGUGUACGUCUGUGUGUCUGUGCGUGUGCGUGGAUCUUGUUACUGUCUUCUCUUGCUAGCGCUGUCCCCUCCCCCUCCCUCGUCUCUGUUCAUGCGUGCGUGUGCGUGACUCGGUGCAAGUCUGCUUGUGCUGGUGUGCACGGGUGAGCAUGCGCGCGCACGCGCGUUCGUUUCUGUCCUCCUGUACGCUUCUGUUUGCAACCUUUAAACCAGAUCGACGCACGCCCUCCACCCCUACCCCAUUUCACGCCCCACCCCUCUACUUGGACAGCUUUCGCUGCCUCUCACCGCCACCACCACACCUUUCCUUCAAGCGACGGGAGUGCCAGACGCUAGUGCUGCUGCUGCUGGUGGUAAUGGCAACGCCACACGCGGGGCAGACCUCCUGCGUGUGGCGAGGUCAUCCUGGCGGGAAAGGCGCGCUCUCCCUCGCCCCUCAUCGCCCUUCGCGCUUUUCGCGCUGGUGAGCAAGGGAUUAUCAAAGGACAUGAUCCGCAUCGGUUUUGUUCGUCGCCACGGCCUCGCCUCGAACCUCAUCGUCGCCGUCAGGGUCUCUCUCUUCUUCCCUCCCUCUCUUCCGCACGGCUCUUCGCGCGACUUUUCACCGUCCUCACGCAACUGCACUGCACCCAC
rnacentral:misc_RNA from 1 species